ACAGCCAGGAUGUUGGCUUAGAAGCAGCCAUCAUUUAAAGAAAGCGUAAUAGCUCACUGGUCGAGUCGGCCUGCGCGGAAGAUGUAACGGGGCUAAACCAUGCACCGAAGCUGCGGCAGCGACACUAUGUGUUGUUGGGUAGGGGAGCGUUCUGUAAGCCUGUGAAGGUGUACUGUGAGGUAUGCUGGAGGUAUCAGAAGUGCGAAUGCUGACAUAAGUAACGAUAAAGCGGGUGAAAAGCCCGCUCGCCGGAAGACCAAGGGUUCCUGUCCAACGUUAAUCGGGGCAGGGUGAGUCGACCCCUAAGGCGAGGCCGAAAGGCGUAGUCGAUGGGAAACAGGUUAAUAUUCCUGUACUUGGUGUUACUGCGAAGGGGGGACGGAGAAGGCUAUGUUGGCCGGGCGACGGUUGUCCCGGUUUAAGCGUGUAGGCUGGUUUUCCAGGCAAAUCCGGAAAAUCAAGGCUGAGGCGUGAUGACGAGGCACUACGGUGCUGAAGCAACAAAUGCCCUGCUUCCAGGAAAAGCCUCUAAGCAUCAGGUAACAUCAAAUCGUACCCCAAACCGACACAGGUGGUCAGGUAGAGAAUACCAAGGCGCUUGAGAGAACUCGGGUGAAGGAACUAGGCAAAAUGGUGCCGUAACUUCGGGAGAAGGCACGCUGAUAUGUAGGUGAAGUCCCUCGCGGAUGGAGCUGAAAUCAGUCGAAGAUACCAGCUGGCUGCAACUGUUUAUUAAAAACACAGCACUGUGCAAACACGAAAGUGGACGUAUACGGUGUGACGCCUGCCCGGUGC
rnacentral:rRNA from 1 species